CCUAGCUAAAUUUAUUGAAUAUAAUACAUAAAAUUCAAUGCUUGGAUAAAUGUCAGGCUCCCUUGAGUGUCAUUUUACAGUGUUGAAAAUGACACAUAAAAUGGUUAAGGUUGAGGUCACAGGGAGGGUGUUAUCCAUCAAGACCACAUGGUGUAAAAUGACACUGCAUUAUGAUAACAUGUGAAGUACACUGGCAUGCUGUACAUGCACAAUUUCAUUUAACCAAGCCGAGCUCUCCAGAAAGACGACAAAUCCAGACGACUGACCCACAUACUCCCUUGUACUCACCGUGAUGUAACAUGUCCGUGCACAUGGUCAGAGGUGUUUGAAAGAUGAUAAACAGAAAGAGCAAAGGUGGUGCAGAGAAGCCCCUCAGAGUCAGAAGAAAGAUCCAGCACCAAGCAGCAACCAAGAACUCACAAGUCCAGAGUGGGAGAUGUUCAGAGGGAGCUGACGUCACAUCUGGUCCAGCCGAUGGAAGGUCUUGAAGUUCUCUGACUGGAGAUGGUCCUCUCACUGGAUUUAAGGUUCAGAUGCUCGGGAACAAACUCCACCAAUGAGCCAACAGGGAAGCUUUAGGUUUAGUAAAUGUUGCUAUUAAGCAUGAAGACUAAAAUCUCCAUAGGGAUCCAAAAUAAGCUGGACUUUUAUAUGAGAGCUUUAACCUGACCGUGAACACCGUUGACACCCACCUUUAGGGAGACGCUGCCUAAGAUCUCAAGGCUGCUUGGUCGUGGUCUUUCUGGUCCUGCUCCAGAACGCCUUCAUCAACUACAUCUUCUUUUGAAGAGGCCCUCAGAUGCUGCAAUCUCUGACCUUAAGGAGGAACUCCUACUUUCACUCUGUAACGAGACGGCGGUUAUUUUAAAGACCCAGCUCCUGGCAGCUUUGAGUGAAAAUUUAACAUCCAUCAAAACAGAACUACAGACAGUUAAAUCUGAGCUGUUGGUCAGUAUUUCAAACAUCACCGUCCGACCGGAGCACAGAACAAGGACGGACAUCAGCGCUGCAUCGUGCACGUCCGUGUUCCGCGCUCUGGUCGGACGGUGAUUGCUGUUGCAUUGCGCACUCACUUCCGCUUUUGAUGACGUAUCGUGCUCAGACGAUUACUCGAGGCUUUGUUAGCUGCAGCCCUAA